rnacentral:tRNA from 1 species
GCAGGCGUGGUUCAAUGGUAGAACACAAGCUUCCCAAGCUUGGGACGCGGGUUCGAUUCCCGUCGCUUGCUGCA